GAUGAACGCUAGCGGCAGGCCUAAUACAUGCAAGUCGAACGGUAACAUGAGUAGCAAUACUUGAUGACGAGUGGCGCACGGGUGCGUAACGCGUAUGCAAUCUACCUUUAACUGGUGAAUAGCCCGAAGAAAUUCGGAUUAAUACACCAUAGUAUAUUAGAGUAGCAUUACUUUAAUAUUAAAACUACGGUGGUUAAAGAUGAGCAUGCGUGACAUUAGCUAGUUGGUGAGGUAACGGCUCACCAAGGCUACGAUGUCUAGGGGAUCUGAGAGGAUUAACCCCCACACUGGUACUGAGACAGGGACCAGACUCCUACGGAGGCAGCAGUAAGGAAUAUUGGACAAUGGUCGCAAGACUGAUCCGGCCAUGCCGCGUGAAGGAUGACGGCCCUAUGGGUUGUAAACUUCUUUUGUACGGGAAAAACCCCUCUACGUGUAGAGGGCUGAUUGUACUGUAAGAAUAAGGAUCGGCUAACUCCGUGCCAGCAGCCGCGGUAAU
rnacentral:rRNA from 1 species